rnacentral:rRNA from 1 species
GACACACGGCGGGUGCUAACGUCCGUCGUGAAGAGGGAAACAACCCAGACCGCCAGCUAAGGUCCCAAAGUCAUGGUUAAGUGGGAAACGAUGUGGGAAGGCCCAGACAGCCAGGAUGUUGGCUUAGAAGCAGCCAUCAUUUAAAGAAAGCGUAAUAGCUCACUGGUCGAGUCGGCCUGCGCGGAAGAUGUAACGGGGCUAAACCAUGCACCGAAGCUGCGGCAGCGACACUAUGUGUUGUUGGGUAGGGGAGCGUUCUGUAAGCCUGUGAAGGUGUACUGUGAGGUAUGCUGGAGGUAUCAGAAGUGCGAAUGCUGACAUAAGUAACGAUAAAGCGGGUGAAAAGCCCGCUCGCCGGAAGACCAAGGGUUCCUGUCCAACGUUAAUCGGGGCAGGGUGAGUCGACCCCUAAGGCGAGGCCGAAAGGCGUAGUCGAUGGGAAACAGGUUAAUAUUCCUGUACUUGGUGUUACUGCGAAGGGGGGACGGAGAAGGCUAUGUUGGCCGGGCGACGGUUGUCCCGGUUUAAGCGUGUAGGCUGGUUUUCCAGGCAAAUCCGGAAAAUCAAGGCUGAGGCGUGAUGACGAGGCACUACGGUGCUGAAGCAACAAAUGCCCUGCUUCCAGGAAAAGCCUCUAAGCAUCAGGUAACAUCAAAUCGUACCCCAAACCGACACAGGUGGUCAGGUAGAGAAUACCAAGGCGCUUGAGAGAACUCGGGUGAAGGAACUAGGCAAAAUGGUGCCGUAACUUCGGGAGAAGG